rnacentral:rRNA from 1 species
GAUGAACGCUGGCGGCGUGCCUAAUACAUGCAAGUCGAGCGAACAGAUAAGGAGCUUGCUCCUUUGACGUUAGCGGCGGACGGGUGAGUAACACGUGGGUAACCUACCUAUAAGACUGGGAUAACUUCGGGAAACCGGAGCUAAUACCGGAUAAUAUUUCGAACCGCAUGGUUCGAUAGUGAAAGAUGGUUUUGCUAUCACUUAUAGAUGGACCCGCGCCGUAUUAGCUAGUUGGUAAGGUAACGGCUUACCAAGGCGACGAUACGUAGCCGACCUGAGAGGGUGAUCGGCAACCCUGGAACUGAGACACGGUCCAGACUCCAACGGGAGGCAGCAGUAGGAAAUCUUCCGCAAUGGGCGAAAGCCUGACGGGGCAACGCCGCGUGAGUGAUGAAGGUCUUCGGAUCGUAAAACGUUGUUAUUAGGGAAGAACAUACGUGUAAGUAACUGUGCACGUCUUGACGGUACCUAAUCAGAAAGCCACGGCUAACUACUU